rnacentral:piRNA from 1 species
UCCUUGGCAAAGCAGCAGGAGUGCUAA